CACCUGCAGUCCAGCGUGUGUGAAUGGAACAUGUGUGAACGGCACGUGCAUCUGUGAUCCAGGUUUUGCAGGGGACAUUUGCGACAAACCUGCAUAUUUUCACCAGUGCCAUCCUACCAACUUCAGUGUCUGUAUCACACCUUUCUCCAUCGACACUUUUUUGCGGGGACAUAUAUGUACACGACUUCAAGAACGUCUCUGCAUGCAACUUAACUCUGGCUCCGACUGUAGCCGACCCUAGCGACGGCAUCGUGGAUUGGUGCAAGGGAUAUGCCGCCGUCAUCCCCUACAACGGCACCUGCGGUGAACUCGGACCGUCCUUUAGUGGCAACGUGACCUCCUAUGUACUCCAGUUGUUUGUGCAAUACACCAGAGAUCUCAGGCAGUGCACUGAUGAGAAGGUCACCUUCACCUGUGAGUUUAACAACAACUCCCUCGAGGUCAACCACAACAUCGGCGUUGAAGGCCAG